UAGGUUUGCAUGACAGCAAGUAUUAGGCAAUUCAAUGCAAUCAUCUUCCUUUGGUGGAGGAAGUCUUGGCAGUGAGACUCUAGUCAACCACAUUGCCUAGAAACCAGAAUGGAGGGGAAGAUGGGCAGUGCAAUGAUUCCACAGAGCCAGUAUGAAAGCCCAGGCUUAAAGCUCUUAAAAUCCAUGGAGUUUAAGGGGCCUGGGUUUUUUUCUGCAGAAGGUCACCCCUAAGGACUGAAGUGUCAAGGCUAUCUACUGUUGAUAUAAUAUACCGUAAAUAGUUUGAAGGCAGGAUACUGACAGUUACGGAGGAACACUCAAAACAAUUAUGAAGACAAGGAUCCUACCCCAAAGAACUUUCAUGUCAAGAUGGAUGAAGGAUGCUGUUAAAACUUCAGAGAAAAUGUGGCUUGCUCUGGGGUAUGGAGCUUUGUUAAUAAAACA